CUGUUAAUUACCCCCUGUAGAUUAGGGCACCUUCGAUUAAGAGACCUUUAUAGAUGGGAUUGAAUGAAUCAUAUCUUGGUUUAUUGAAUCCUAAGUAUAUGUAUUAGGAUUCAGUUAAAUUUGAGUUUGAUUAGGCCCUAAGUAUAUGUGUUAAGACCUAAUCGAUAUUAAACUCUAUGUAUUAGAGUUUAAUUGGUUCGUGCGAUAUGGGUAUGAGAUCUGGGUAUUGGUUCAUGGGAUUUGGGUAUUGGUUUAUGGGAUAUGGGUAUUAGGUUGGAUGUAUGGUUCAUGGGAUUUGGUUCAUGAGGAUUGGUGUAUGGUUUGUGGGGUUCGGUCCAUGAGGUUUAGUUGUGGUCAUAGGAUUUGGUCCAUGAGGUUUGGUGUAUGAUUUAUGGGAUUUGGUCCAUGAGGUUUGGUUUUGGCUCAUGGGAUUUGGUCCAUGAGGUUUGGUUUUGGUUCAUGGGAUUUGGUCCAUGAACUUGGUUUUGGCUCAUGGGACUUGGUCCAUGAACUUGGUUUUGUAUGUGGACUUGGUUUGGUUUGGGUUUAUUUGGGUUCGAGUUUGGGUUCUGGUUUUAUGUGUGGACUUGGUUUGGGUUUGGAUUUAUUUGGGUCCAAGUUUGGGUUCUGGUUUUAUGUGUGGACUUGGUUUGG
rnacentral:lncRNA from 1 species